GGCGCGCGACUCGAGUGUUCACUUCCUGAGGCCACUUGGAAUGACUUCUCAGAAGUUUGCUCCGGAGCACAGCGCGGGUGACAGGGGACGGGGCGGGGCAGAUGAGCACGCUGAGGCCCCGAGGCGGCCAAAUGCGUCAUCCAGACGGGAACUGGCAGGCUCAGGCCACGCCCACCCUUGCGGCCACAUCGAUCCUCAUUUUCUCUGAAAACAUCCCGGUGUCCAAAAGCAACGUGCACGGCUGACCUCGCCGGUUACCUUGGCUUGCCCGGCCCGGUAUCAGUUCCCAGCUUAUUUUUAUGAGCCGCUUCAUCUGCACACGGUCUUCUGUUCUCAGUAAAUGGGGCUGCGCAUUCCAGGAUGGCCCCGAAUGAUAACACCCGCUGUCUAGACGGAGGCCAGCGCACUGACACUAUCAUAAAUAAAAAUAGCUUUGUGUUCUA